rnacentral:rRNA from 1 species
CAGUAGCGUAUAUUAAAGUUGUUGCAGUUAAAAUGCUCGUAGUUGAAGUUCGGAUGCAGCAGAGCUUGGAAACGCUGUUAUGGUGCUUCCGUUGCUUUUGCUUGUCCACAGUGCGUUGCAAGUACGUAUGUGCUUGUGCGUGCAUUUUACUUUGAGAAACAUAGGGUGUUCCACGCAUGUUACGGCAUGAAUAUUCCAGCAUGGGAUAAUCUGGUACGACUUCCAAUCUGCCAUUUUGGUUCGUAGGUUGGAAGUAAUGAUUAAUAGGGACUGUCGGGGGCAUUGGUAUUUGACUGUCAGAGGUGAAAUUCUUAGAUUCGUUGAGGAUCAACCACUGCGAAAGCAUUUGUCAAGGAUGUCUCCAUUAA